rfam:Hordeum vulgare subsp. vulgare, WGS project CAJW01000000 data, contig: morex_contig_53662
GGCAUACUCCCUUCGUUCUAAUUUUUUUGUCUUAGAUUUGUUUAGAUAUGAAUGUAGCUAGUCAAGUUUUGAUAUUUAGAUACAUCCAUUUCUAGACAAAGCUAAGACAAGAAUUUUAGAACCAAUGGAGUACUUU